AAUGGCAAGCAGAAAGGGAUGCUGCAAUAGAUUCUGAUACGAGGAGAUUUCACCAUCCAAGCUGCAUAAUUUUGGGGCAACAUGGGACUGUUAACACACAUCAUUCAUCUCAGUGGUCUCCAUUUACAGAUCCCUGCUUUUCCCCAUAAGAAAUCACAAUAUAAGUGGGAAAAAUUCAGUACAAAACAUUCAGCAAACCAAAUGCACAAACUAAGGAUGGAUGACAAAUCUAAACACCAUUUACAUAAUGUACCUUUUUAUAAUUCUUCCUACUGGAAUACCUACUAGCUUUGCAGUUCUUUGUAAUCUGAUUUUAUUUUAUCCAGUCAGUCCUAAAAUGACAUUGUUUGGGUGUACACUCCAAAUACAUUUCAUACUCCCACUAUUUCAUUCCUUAGGCACAAAUACAAUAGCUCAGAUGUAUUUAUCCUGUCUAACCAUCUCAGUGGACCCUCUGGGGCUUAGCACAGGAUAAAGAAAGGACUGUGAGGGGUGGAGAGAGGGAGUGAGGGAAGGACAGCAUGUUUAGACCUGUGGUUGGACAGCACUAGUGGUUAAAAUGACCAGAAUAUGAAGGAAGCAGGUAUGGAAGGAGAAAGAAGGAAGAUGGAGAGGUAUCUGAGAUCAACAACUAUGGAUGAAAGAAGAAGGGCAGAAUAUGAUGUUUCUCAGUAUUUGUUUUCCAAGCAUUAUUCACAGUUCAAAGCAAAGCUGAAUUCUGUGCAACCCAUAAAUGAUCCAUGGAGGUUACCUCUAUUAAAAACCACUGAAACAAAAAUACUGCAAAGACCUAGACAUUUGAAAAGCAAAAAUGGUGUCUGCAGUGAAAUAGCUGGCCAAAUCUUUAUUAUGGAAUUAAACACAUAUUUCAAAAUAGAAAAAAAAGAUGUGGACUUGAAGCUUCCAUACAGUUGAAUUAUCCACAUAAUUAUCCACAAUAUACAUCACACUGAAACAAAUUACUCCUAGGAUAAAGAAAACUAUGAUAGCUGGACCACACACAUUUCAGUGAUACAAGUUAGUAAAAUAGCUUUAUUUAUGCUGAAGAUUCAUGUAAUAAAUAUCAGUGUCCUUCCUUGCUAAGAUGUUAUUCCUCCUAAACACAACAACAACAAAAAAAAUCAGGUAUUUUCUAGUCAGAUGCAGCAUUUGGGUCAUCGUUGUUCCUGGUCACUGAUGAACAUGAACUCGUACCCCAUGAAUCUGUUUACACUUUUGGCUUUCUCUAUGUCCUCAGGCAACAGGUUUUGCCAUUUGUUUCAUAUGAGAAGUCCUUUCUUUUUUAAAGCCAGUAAACACUCAGAAACACCUGAUGAAACUGCAAAUAAUCCUUUCCAUCCUACCAUGAAUUUCCUGUUCAUCUAUCACAGCC